UACGAAGGGGGCUAGCGUUGCUCGGAAUCACUGGGCGUAAAGCGCACGUAGGCGGAUCUUUAAGUCAGGGGUGAAAUCCCAAGGCUCAACCUUGGAACUGCCUUUGAUACUGGGGAUCUCGAGUCCGGAAGAGGUUGGUGGAACUGCGAGUGUAGAGGUGAAAUUCGUAGAUAUUCGCAAGAACACCAGUGGCGAAGGCGGCCAACUGGUCCGGUACUGACGCUGAGGUGCUAAAGCGUGGGGAGCAAACAGG
rnacentral:rRNA from 1 species